rnacentral:rRNA from 1 species
GAUGAACGCUAGCGGCAGGCCUAACACAUGCAAGUCGAGGGGUAGAAGUUACUUGAAACUUUGAGACCGGCGCACGGGUGCGUAACGCGUAUGCAAUCUACCUUUUACAGAGGGAUAGCCCAGAGAAAUUUGGAUUAAUACCUCGUAGUAUCUUUGCCUGGCAUCGGGUGAUUAUUAAAGUUCCAACGGUAAAAGAUGAGCAUGCGUCCUAUUAGCUAGAUGGUAAGGUAACGGCUUACCAUGGCAACGAUAGGUAGGGGUCCUGAGAGGGAGAUCCCCCACACUGGUACUGAGACACGGACCAGACUCCUACGGGAGGCAGCAGUGAGGAAUAUUGGACAAUGGGCGCAAGCCUGAUCCAGCCAUGCCGCGUGCAGGAAGAAGCAUCUAUGGUGUGUAAACUGCUUUUGUACGGGAAGAAACACUCCCUCGUGAGGGAGCUUGACGGUACCGUAAGAAUAAGGAUCGGCUAACUCCGUGCCAGCAGCCGCCGUAAUAC